rnacentral:lncRNA from 1 species
AAAACAAAGGUAAAAGAAAAAGAACAGAUGAUGAGGAAAAGAGUAGGGGAGAAAGUAGAGCAAGGAGGAAAGCAGAAAAAUAGAGGUAAAAAGGGCAAUGCAAGCCUCUAGAGAAGAAGCAGAGAAAAGGAAGGAGGACCUUUGACCUGAUGAUGCAGGAGCCUCAUCUAGUGGAACUCCUCCAGCUAUUGUAAUGGAUGAGCCAGCACAGUAGCAGGCUCUAAAUGUGGGUUUCCUAGCUGAGGGCGCUGAUGUAGGGUCGAGAACCCACGAUCCCCAUGCUUGAUCUACUCAAGGUAUACCCUAACCCUUAGUUCAGUUUUUGUUUGAUUUCUAAUAUGAGUGGAAAGGGACUUCUUUCCUUUGAGGGCACACUGGAUAUAUUGCUAGUUGCUAACAUAUUUGGAUAGUGUAAUAUUGGUGCAUACAUGGUUGUUGUUGAUGCAUUGAUGCUAUAACUUGAUUCCUGUAUGUUGUACUAUUGUUCUUCAAUAGUAUACACAGUUGAGUUUGAACUGAUUGACCUUGGGGAAUGUAGAUGUGUUUUGAGAUAAUAUGAAUGAUUGACUGCUAAUUGUACUUUGUAUCCCCUUAGUUAUGUUUUGGUAGCUUGAGGACAACCGAUUGUUUUAAGUUGAGGGUGUUGAUGUGUAAGAAUAUGAUAACACAUUUAAGGCUUUUAACGAGAAAUAAUUGUAAAGUCAUAAGCAAAUUUUGUUAUUUUUGAUUGUUUUAUAUUUGUUAUUGCAGAAAAAGUCAAGAUGCAAGAGAACCAACAAUAAUGGAGGCAAAAGAGUUGAAAUUUGAUGCAAAUAGAAUGGAAGUGUGGCUAAAGACAUUCCUAAUAAGUCAUCUGCCCUAUGAUAAGCUAUCAGAGAUGUUGUCAAGCUUGGUAGUGUCAGAGAAAUUGAGGUAAAAAUCUAAUGACAUUUAUAAUACGUCAUCAGGAGUGUGAUAAGGCAUCAUAAAUAUUAUCAGGCUUAUGUAGCAAGUGGGAUUUUGAGUGAAGAAGUGAGGACAACUCUGAUAAGUUGUUACAAUCCUAAUAAGUCAUCGAAAACAACGAUUACUUAAUCAGAAGAUGUCAAGACUGAAGAAGGAUCUGACAACAUUCCUGAUAAGUCAUCAGGAUCCUGAUAAGGAGUUACGAAUGUCGUCAACUAUUCGAUAGAAUUACUGAACUCUGUGAUUUUGUUUCCAUAUUUACGUUGAACUAUUUAAAGCAUUGUUUAGGGUUUUCUUAGAAAUGAUCAAACAUUAGAUCAUUG